UGAAAAGCUCACAAGAAGACGUCCUGCCAGCUGUAAAGAGACCUGUGCCCCUUCCUCAUGAGCUGAGGUUUCUGAUGCCAACAACAGCAGGUCUUCAGCCAACAAAGACGACUCUAACAGUUCCAGUGUCAGAGGCACUUGUGAUUACUCCUGGUACGUCUGCAGAGCCCAGUCAUCCGGCGUUGCAGCCAAUAA